CGGUCAGUAAAGGGGAGAUUAACGUUAUUUAGAGUUAAACGGAGAAUAACGGCUGUUUCUUACCGACCGUUGGUGACGUUGAUCAAACGGAAAACACCGAAACUCUCCAGAGAAACGUCAUCUAAUCCGAACUGACCCGGAAACACUUCUCAUCGUCGUCGUCGGACUUCUUCUUCUGUCCAUUUAACGGCAGCUGGAGACUCAUUACUGCCACCUUUCGGGCAACAACGUGUAUUUCAGUUUAAACUGUAAAUAAUAUUAAAUAAUAUGUUAUUACAUUUAUUUAGUUUUUAUAGAAUAUUUAAUAGUUUUAGAAACAUUUAGAAAAAAACAAUGAAUGAUAAAAACAUUAUUUUAUCAUUCUAAUACAUUUGUUAUUGUUAUUUGUUAUCCUGGCCUCCAUAUGUUUCAUUAUAAACCUUCACUGACGACGGUUAAUAUUAUUUAUUCAUAUUUUGUAAACGUGUUUAACUCAUUAAAGUUUUAUUUAAAGAAAAAAAACCAACUGCUUCCGGGGUCUGUUUGUCCUCUUAAGGUGGUCUGAAGGAUCCGGAAGAGCAGCGGGAUUCUGAAUCUUAUCGUCUUCAACCGGUUCCGUCUGCGUUCAGACUGUCGGUGUUCUCACCGGAGCAGGUUCCGGACGGACCAGCAGAGGUUCCGGACGGACCAGCAGCUGCUGGGAGUCUGCAGGGUCCACCUUAAAACCACAGACACGUUCCUGCUGCAGCCCUGCAGAGCGGAUCUGAUCUGAUCCUGAUCCGUCCCAUCGAUCCGUCCCAUCGAUCCGUCCCAUCGAUCCGUCCUCGGGGUGGAGAUGGAUGUUCCCGCCGCGCAGUCAGAGCUCGUGCAGCUGCUGAACAGAGUGAACCCGCGGGAACUCCCCAAACUACUGCACUGGAUGAGAAACUCAGAUGAACUGGAUCAGCUGCUGUCAGACAACAACAACAACAACAAAGUGAUCCUGAGGAACAUUUCUGACGACCUGAGAGCCAGUUUACCGCCAAACGCCAUGUUCCCCUCGGAGAGCACCGCCCACUGCAAGGUACUGGAACACUAAUAACACUAAUAACACUAAUAACACUGACACUAAUAACACUAAUACUAAUAACACUGACACUAAUAACACUAAUAACACUAAUAACACUGACACUAAUAACACUAAUACUAAUAACACUAAUAACACUAAUAACACUAAUAACACUGACACUAAUAACACUAAUACUAAUAACACUAAUAACACUAAUAACACUGACACUAAUAACACUGACACUAAUAACACUGACACUAAUAACACUGACACUAAUAACACUAAUAACACUAAUACUAAUAAUACUAAUACUAAUAACACUAAUAACAAUUCAAUUCAAUUCAAUUUUAUUUGUAUAGCUCCAAUUCAUAACAGAAGUUAUCUCAGGACACUUUUCAAAUAGAGCAGGUCUAGACCGAACUCUUUAUAACAUUAUUUACAGAGACCCAACAGUACCACCAUGAGCAAGCACUUGGCGACAAGGGCAAGGAAACACUGCCUGUUAAAAGGCAGAAACCUAGAACAGAUCCUCCGGCUCUAGGUGGAUGGUCGUCUGUCUCGACCAGUUGGAGAGAGAGAGAGAGAGAGAGAGAGAGAGAGAGAGAGAGAGCGACAGACAGACAGACAGACAGGUGCACAGCAACAACAGUAUUGGCAAUGGCAAUCUAGCAGGACCAUGGCAGGAGGCUCCACCAGGAUCCAUGAGAACCUGCGAGACGAGAAAGCACAAGAACUCCGAGGAAGAAGUGAAGUUAGUAACAUGCAUUAAUGGAACAUGAAUGAGUGCAGAAAGAGAGAGGAAGAGAGUAGCUCAGUGCACCAUGGGAAAUCCCCCGAUAGUCUAGGCCUAUAGCAGCAUAACUAAGGGAUGGUUCAGGACUCACCUGAUCCAGCCCUAACUAUAAGCUUUAUCAAAGAGGAAUGUCUUAAGCCUACUCUUGAAUGUGGUGAGGGUGUCUGCCUCCCGAACCACAACUCGAAGCUGGUUCCACAGGAGAGGAGCUUGGUAACUGAAGGCUCUGGCUCCUGUUCUACUUUUAGAGACUAUAGGAACCACAAGUAGCCCAGCAUUCAGAGAACGUAGUGUUCUAGUGGGGUAAUAGGGUACUAUGAGCUCUUUAAGAUAUGAAGGGGCCUGACCAUGAAGAGCUUUAUAGGUGAGGAGGAGUAUUUUAAAUUCAAUUCUACAUUUUAUAGGGGAGCCAUGCAGAGUAGCUAGUACAGGAGAGAUGUGAUCUCUUUUUCU
rnacentral:lncRNA from 15 species